UUUGUCGGAUUCUGAAUACCGGCU
rnacentral:snRNA from 1 species